rnacentral:lncRNA from 1 species
UUGCAAUUUUUCUGAGUAUUAUGGAUUUUUGGAUAAAUUUGUAUAUAAAUCUUCCAGUUAGCAUAAAAACAGAAUUGAGAUGCAUAUCUAAGAGAAGCAAUAUGGGAAGAAAGUAGAAAUAACUAAAACGACACCGUACCAACGUAGCAAUGUGUUGGAGAGAGAGAGGUAUCGGCUGCGACGUCGUUUUGGAACGAUCGCCAAAACAACUCCUGAAACGCGUCAACAUAGCUUCCCCCGGAUUGCUGUGUCAUAAAGAGAGAGAGGGAGAGAGGGGCUACGACAUCGUUUUGUGACGAUCAAUAUAGCAACUCCUGAACCGGAAAGGUGAAAACACAAUUAGGAAAACAAAUUUGAAUAUAAUCCAGAUUUUUUAAAUUUGUUUAUAUAUCUAUAUAUAUAUAUAUAUAUAUAGAUAUAUACGCAGACAUAUACGUAGAUGUCAUGACCUUACAUCAAGCUUUCUAGGUUGAAUUCACACCGAACUGGAAUGUGCGAGACGAAGAAGACCGGUGUCGAUCAUAUUUCUGAGUUACCGGAUCACCUUCUCCAUCGCAUCGUCUGUAAGCUCCCCCUCGAAGAAGCCGCCCGC